AACGCACGAGACCUGCGGACCUGCGGAGGGAUCAUUACUGAGUUUCACAACUCUCUAACCCUGUGUGAACUGAAGUCUGGUUGCUCAGGCAGGCGGCCCCCGGGGGGAGCCGCAGCUUCUCUGAAGCGCCUGCCGGAGGAUACCUAAACUCGUUUUAACAUAUAAUCUUCUGAGUAAUAAAAAAAAUGAAUCAAAACUUUCAACAACGGAUCUCU
rnacentral:misc_RNA from 1 species